UGAGUACGAGAUGCUACGGCAUCGAAGCAGUCUAUGUCAUACUUCCAAGAAAAGCUUGCAAUGUCAUAAACAAAUAAUGCCUGUACCAUAACCGACACAGGUGGGUAGGUAGAGUAUACUAAGGGGCGCGAGAUAACUCUCUCUAAGGAACUCGGCAAAAUGACUCCGUAACUUCGGGAGAAGGAGUGCCUUAUUUUUAUAAGGUUGCAAUAACAAGAUCCAAGCAACUGUUUACCAAAAACACAGGUCUCCGCUAAGUCGUAAGACGAUGUAUGGGGGCUGACGCCUGCCCAGUGCCAGAAGGUUAAAGAAGUUGGUUAGCAUUAGCGAAGCUGAUAACUGAAGCCCUGGUGAACGGCGGCCGUAACUAUAACGGUCCUAAGGUAGCGAAAUUCCUUGUCGGGUAAGUUCCGACCCGCACGAAAGGCGUAAUGAUUUGGAUACUGUCUCGGAGAGGGGCUCGGUGAAAUAGACUUGUCUGUGAAGAUGCGGACUACCUGCACCUGGACAGAAAGACCCUAUGAAGCUUUACUGUAACUUGAGAUUGAAAUUGGACUUUAUCUGCGCAGUAUAGGUGGGAGACGUUGAAAAUAUUCUUGCGGGAAUAUUGGAGUCAUCAGUGAGAUACCACUCUUAUAAUGUUAGAUUUCUAACUUUGUAUCAUUAUCUGGUCAAAGAACAGUUUCAGGCGGGCAGUUUGACUGGGGCGGUCGCCUCCCAAACGGUAACGGAGGCGCACAAAGGUUUCCUCUGAACGUGUAGAAAUCGUAUCUAGAGUGUAAAGGCAUAAGGAAGCUUGACUGUGAGACCUACAAGUCGAGCAGGGACGAAAGUCGGUCUUAGUGAUCUGACGGUGCUGAGUGGAAAGGCCGUCACUCAACGGAUAAAAGUUACUCUAGGAUAACAGGCUGAUCUCCCCCAAGAGUUCACAUCGACGGGGAGGUUUGGCACCUCGAUGUCGGCUCAUCGCAUCCUGGGGCGGUAGUACGUCCCAAGGGUUGGGCUGUUCGCCCAUGAAAGCGGUACGCGAGCUGGGUUCAGAACGUCGUGAGACAGUUCGGUCCAUAUCCGGUGUAGGCGUUAGAAUAUUGAGAGGAGCCUUCUUUAGUACGAGAGGACCGAGAAGGACAUACCUCUGGUGUACCAGUUAUCUUGCCAACGGUAAACGCUGGGUAGCCAUGUAUGGAGAGGAUAACCGCUGAAAGCAUCUAAGUGGGAAGCCCACCUCAAGAUAAGUAUUCUCAC
rnacentral:rRNA from 1 species